rnacentral:rRNA from 1 species
GAUUGACGUUACUCGCAGAAGAAGCACCGGCUAACUCCGUGCCAGCAGCCGCGGUAAUACGGAGGGUGCAAGCGUUAAUCGGAAUUACUGGGCGUAAAGCGCACGCAGGCGGUCUGUCAAGUCGGAUGUGAAAUCCCCGGGCUCAACCUGGGAACUGCAUCCGAAACUGGCAGGCUAGAGUCUUGUAGAGGGGGGUAGAAUUCCAGGUGUAGCGGUGAAAUGCGUAGAGAUCUGGAGGAAUACCGGUGGCGAAGGCGGCCCCCUGGACAAAGACUGACGCUCAGGUGCGAAAGCGUGGGGAGCAAACAGGA